rnacentral:lncRNA from 1 species
GGAUUGUCUCCAUAGUCUUCGAACUUACCCCUCAUUGAUAAGACCUCUAGGUGAACACAGUGUUUGAAUGCAGUCCUGAUCAAUGGUGUGUGGUGAAGAGGUGCCUUCUCCUUUUUCUAUACUACCUUCCUCAAGAAACACAUUGCUUUUCUGAUCUCUUCUUCUUCUUGGGGUCUUCUGUGGCUUAUAAACUGAGAGUAGUGCCUGAAGUGAGUUCUAAGUGCAUUUAGGUAUGAAUUAAUUUCAAAUAUACUCCAGAAGCAUUAAGACAAAAUCUCCAUAGUUGGUUGGUCAGUACCUCCUUGACUAUCUGAUCUCUGUGGUCCAUGUUUUCCUUGUGUACAGGCCAAUUUUUACAUCAGAUUUUUUUUUUUCAGCACCUGAGAUUUAUGGAAGUUCCCUGGCCAGGGAUCAAACCCACACCUCUAUGGUAACCCGAACUCCUGCAGUCAGAUCUUUAACCCACUGCACCACAGUGGGAACUCCUAAAUAAGAUUUUUAAAUGCAAGUUUUCUGCCUUUGGCCUCCAACACAUUUCUGAUUUUCUUUUAGUGGGUAUGUGCUCAGACACAGAAACUCAUUUUAUUACAGAAAUGUACACAGCUUCAUGUAGGGUGGGAUCUCAUUACAAAGGAGCUCCUGGAGGAUAUCAAGGAUGGGGCAGUAAUGCUGGAAUUUGAGUGUGGUAUUGCCUGGUACUUCUGUGGUCUUUUCGGGGAGUUGAGGCUGUACCUGUGGCAUGUGGAAGUUCCAGGACCGGAAUCCAACCUGCACCACAGCAGUGAUCCUGGCCACUGCAGUGAAAACUGCUGGAUCCUUAACCCACUGGGCCUGGAACCUUCAAAGUCUUAAUGGGCCUCUCCAAGGAGUUUUUCACAAGCAGAGAUUCAAACUGGUUUCUUUAAAAAAAAAAAAAAUAAUAACAUUUUUUAAAAAAAUUGAAGUAUAGCUGAUUUACAAUGUUGUGUUAGUUUCAGGUAUAUAGCAAAGUGUUUCAGUUACAUAUAUAUGUGUGUAUACAUAUGUAUAUACACAUACAUAUUCUUUUUCAGAUUAUUUUCCUCUUAAGGAUAUUAUAAAAUAUUGAAUAUAAUUCCCUGUGCUAUAUAGUAGUUCCUUGUUGGAUAUCUAUUUUAUAUAUAGUAGUGUAGAGUAUAUUAAUCUCGAACUCAACCUCCUAUUCCUAACUUACCCUUCUGGUAACUGUAAGUUUGUUUUCUAUGUCUGAGGGUGUAUUACUGUUUUGUACAUAAGUUCAUUUGUAUCAUUAUGCUUUUAGAUUAUAUGUAUAAGUGAUGUCAUAUGAUGUUUCUCUUUUUCUGUCUGGUUUAGUUCUCUUCGUAUGAUAACCUCUAUGUCCAUCCAUGUUACUGCAAAUGGCAUUAUUUCAUUCUUUUUUAUGGCUGAGUAGUAUUCCAUUGUACAUAUGUAGUAUUCCUCCUCCAUUCAUCUGUCCAUGGACAUUUAGGUUGCUUCCAUGUCUUGGUUAUUGUAAAUAGUGCUGCAAUGAGAUUUCAGGUUUCUCUGCCUUCUACAGAGGUGCCUUGCUACUACAUACUGUUAAAGACAAUGGUAAAAAGCAAGUAAUGCCGGGCUUGCCAUUAGUGGGCUGCAGCAAUAGUCACUAAUCCAUAUGAUGCUUACCCAGCUUAGCGUAAUGUACAGAGGGAAAGGGAGAGGGGUAUCUCAGCAACAUCCACAACCCUAAGGUCCUCUCCCAUUGCUAUUGCUGCUGGCCUUUCAGAUGUCCCUUAGUAUGGAUUGCCACUACAAUAUAAACAGAUAUAACUGUUAUUUCCCUUUUCAAAUGGCAUUAAUUUAGACUUUAUUAGGUCUCACUAUUUUAAAAAAUAUGAGCUUGUUACAAUUUUAUACACAAUGAAAUUUGUUGUUGUUGUUGUUGUUUGUUUUUUGCGUUUUUGUCUUUUCCAGGGCUGCACUUGCAGCAUAUGGAGGUUCCCAGGCUAGGGGUCUAAUUGGAGCUGUAGCUGUCAGACUACGCCACAGCCACAGAAACGAGGGAUCCGAGCCGCGUCUGCGACCUACAUCACAGCUCACGGCGAUGCCGGAUCCUUAACCCACCCAGCGAGGCCAGGGAUCGAACCGGCAACCUCAUGGUUCCUAGUCGGAUUCGUUCACCACUGAGCCACGAUGGGAACUCCCACAAUGAAAUUUUAAUUCUUGUGUUGCCCCUUUGAAUGACAAUGUGUCCUGAUGAUAUAAUUUUGUUUGACCCCAAAUCUAAAGAAAUCUGUGCCUUAUUGUGUAAAUAUUCUGAAUUCUCCAUAUACCAUUUCUGUAGAAGUGUCUGAUUCAAAAGACAUGCAAAAGAGUAUAGUAAUUCUCUUCCUAAAUCCUUAUACUUUUUUUUUCCUGGGAAGUUAGUGAAGCUUUUCCUACAUUUUGUAUAUGGUUGAGCAGUUACUACUUAGAAGUUUUGCUUUUGUUCAAUAUUUACAGCUCAUCCUAACAUAUGCCAAGACUGACUUUCUUUUAUGCAACUUCAGGGCUGUGUGCCCAGAUCUGGAGUGGUGCUUGUUAUCAAAAAUAUACCCCUUAGGAAUAUCUGAUAUAUGGUUUCUUUGUAAAUAAUAUCAGCCCCUUUAAAACCAGACUCUCUUCUAUUGGCUAGAUAAAAUAUACAUUAGAAAAUGCUUAUGCAUUCUUUAUGUAGCAACAAUGAGCUAGUUGCUUACAGUUCCUAAUCUCCCCAGAAUAUGUGCAAGGAUAUGAGAUGGGUAAACAUAUAGACACAGCAACACGUCAUAAAACCCCCAUGAACCACGAUUUAGUAUAUUACCAGUUAUAUGUCACUAUUUCUUAUUGCUAUACUUUUUUUCUAUUAAAAAAGCUAUUGAGGGGUUCCCGUUGUGGCUCAGUGGUAAUGAACCCGACAAGGAUCCAUGAGGACAUAGGUUCGAUCCCUAGCCUCGCUCAGGAUCUGGGGAAGCUGUGAGCUGUUGUGUAGGUCAUAUCUGGCGUUGCUGUGGCUCUGGCAUAGGCCAGCAGCUGUAGCUCCAAUUGGACCCCUAGCCCGGGAACCUCCAUAUGCUUGAAAUCUGGAGAAUUCUUCUGGUAAGUGCAGAUAGCUGUGGAUGGGCAGGAGAUGGGAGCAUACGAGUGAUAUGGUGUCGACUGAAAGAAAAAAAAAAACAAAACCCCAGGACCUAAAAAUUGAGAAUUAUAUUUUAUUUAGUGAAUUUUCUGAGGCCUUAACUCCAGAAGGCAGCCUCUGAGAAAGCUCUGAGGGACCACUCCAAAGAGGUAAGGGAGGACCCAGGGUAUGUGGGAGUUUUGCAACAAAAAUCAGGUAGCAAAAGUACUAAAUUACCAUUAAUUAAAGAAAAUCAGACACCUCAAGUUAAUGAAUUUACUGCUUUUCUAUAUAUGGGAAGAUGCAGGGGUCUGGGCUCGCUAAAAUCAUUCCUUUGAUAGAACUUUAACUGUCUAGGGUCUGCUUUUCCCCAUCCUGAAUCCCCUCAGGGUGCACCCAUGGGGGCAGCUGCAGUGGCUGCUGGCUUGAGGGUCGAAAUAUCCCUUAUUGACUGAUAUGACAGGCAAGAUUUUUCAUCCACAUUGGCUUCUAACACUGCCAAUUGAAUCCUGGGGGGCUGCAGCCCCUGGUUUGUGAGCCCUUCCCAUGCAAAGCUGAACAUAUUUUUAUCCCUCCUAGAGCACUUGGUACACCUUAUAUCCCAAGGUUCAUAAAGCCAACAACCCAGUGGGCACAAUUUGUAUCAGAAACAACAUUAAUGAUGGAGGAUAAUGUGAGAAAAAGAAUGUAGGUAUGUGGGACUGGGUCACUUGGCUGUACUGGAGAAAACUGACGGAACACUGUAAACCAACUAUAAAGGAAAAAAUAUGUCAUUAAAAAAAAAAAAGAAACAACAUUAGAAAUGAAUAAAAAGGGACGCUGAGAUUGUGAGGCAUCAGUACACCCGUGAGUGUUAGCGCGCAUCAUUCACCUGGAUGUUGAGGGUAUUGGAUUGUGUUUUUCUAUGGGGAGCUACAGGGGUCAAGCCUCACGCAUCAGAGUCAGGAGCGGAUCUCAUGUGAAAGAGAAGGUUAUUCUUUCUGUCCAUCACCAGGGGGAGAUGGAUCCUAAGAUAGGAAGGAGAAAGUGAGAACAGGUGAGUGAGGGAAGUCAGACUUUGGGGGACUUGGGAAUCCAUAACUGAGUUCCCGCUAUGAGGAAAUCCUUGACCUUUAAUAACUAUGGCUCCUUGGAUCCUGGAGUAAACAGAGACUGUGAUUUUCCUGGGCUGAAAACUCUCAGAAGAUUUUGUUGACUUGAUUAUACUUGUGUGCAUUCUAGGAACAGGCCAUGGGUGGGUCAAAAAUCCUUCUAAAGGGUUCCUCUUCUUUCUCUCAUGCACACUUGGGCCAAAACAAAAAAAAACAAAACAGACAAACAAAAAGCAAAAAAUAAAAAAAAAAAAAACCCUUCACUCUGUUCAGUACUUUCCAAUUUUCUCUCAAUUCCUCACUCACCCAGUUAUCAUUCUAGCACACAUCCCAUAAUAAGCAGCACGUGUGUUAUCAGCAGAGAUAACAGUGUGAUACUGGCCAUCAAUUUGGCCUCUGAGAUUUUUCUUAUCUUUUUUUCUUGUGCGCUUUCAGAAUCUUAUUACAGAGAACACAUGUCCUUGACCAUUGAAAAUAUUUCCAGAUAAAUCUGCACCUGAGUAUCUUUGUACUUAAGAUGUCUCCUGGGUUCUGCCUCGUGUCCCACAUCAGUAAAUCAGAUGGUGAUCAAAAUCCCAUUUAUCUUACACGCUGACUAGGCAAAAUGCAAAGGCAAAGGUUCUAAGGGAAGAGAGAAUGCAGCUUAUUUAUCACUGUUCCGAAGGUACAGUGGGGACAGCAG